GGGUUGUGAGGUUAAGCGACUAAGCGUACACGGUGGAUGCCCUGGCAGUCAGAGGCGAUGAAGGGCGUGCUAAUCUGCGAUAAGCGCCGGUAAGGUGAUAUGAACCGUUAUAACCGGCGAUACCCGAAUGGGGAAACCCAGUGUGAUUCGUCACACUAUCAUUAACUGAAUCCAUAGGUUAAUGAGGCGAACCGGGGGAACUGAAACAUCUAAGUACCCCGAGGAAAAGAAAUCAACCGAGAUUCCCCCAGUAGCGGCGAGCGAACGGGGAGGAGCCCAGAGCCUGAAUCAGCAUGUGUGUUAGUGGAAGCGUCUGGAAAGGCGCGCGAUACAGGGUGACAGCCCCGUACACAAAAGCGCAUGUGCUGUGAGCUCGAUGAGUAGGGCGGGACACGUGGUAUCCUGUCUGAAUAUGGGGGGACCAUCCUCCAAGGCUAAAUACUCCUGACUGACCGAUAGUGAACCAGUACCGUGAGGGAAAGGCGAAAAGAACCCCGGCGAGGGGAGUGAAAAAGAACCUGAAACCGUGUACGUACAAGCAGUGGGAGNNNNNNNNNNNNNNNNNNNNNNNNNNNNNNNNNNNNNNGGGCGUUAAGUUGCAGGGUAUAGACCCGAAACCCGGUGAUCUAGCCAUGGGCAGGUUGAAGGUUGGGUAACACUAACUGGAGGACCGAACCGACUAAUGUUGAAAAAUUAGCGGAUGACCUGUGGCUGGGGGUGAAAGGCCAAUCAAACCGGGAGAUAGCUGGUUCUCCCCGAAAGCUAUUUAGGUAGCGCCUCGUGAAUUCAUCUCCGGGGGUAGAGCACUGUUUCGGCUAGGGGGCCAUCCCGGCUUACCAACCCGAUGCAAACUGCGAAUACCGGAGAAUGUUAUCACGGGAGACACACGGCGGGUGCUAACGUCCGUCGUGAAGAGGGAAACAACCCAGACCGCCAGCUAAGGUCCCAAAGUCAUGGUUAAGUGGGAAACGAUGUGGGAAGGCCCAGACAGCCAGGAUGUUGGCUUAGAAGCAGCCAUCAUUUAAAGAAAGCGUAAUAGCUCACUGGUCGAGUCGGCCUGCGCGGAAGAUGUAACGGGGCUAAACCAUGCACCGAAGCUGCGGCAGCGACACUGUGUGUUGUUGGGUAGGGGAGCGUUCUGUAAGCCUGCGAAGGUGGCCUGUGAGGGUUGCUGGAGGUAUCAGAAGUGCGAAUGCUGACAUAAGUAACGAUAAAGCGGGUGAAAAGCCCGCUCGCCGGAAGACCAAGGGUUCCUGUCCAACGUUAAUCGGGGCAGGGUGAGUCGACCCCUAAGGCGAGGCCGAAAGGCGUAGUCGAUGGGAAACGGGUUAAUAUUCCCGUACUUGGUGUUACUGCGAAGGGGGGACGGAGAAGGCUAUGUUGGCCGGGCGACGGUUGUCCCGGUUUAAGCGUGUAGGUGUGUGUUCCAGGUAAAUCCGGUUCACUUUAACACUGAGGCGUGACGACGAGGCACUACGGUGCUGAAGCAACAAAUGCCCUGCUUCCAGGAAAAGCCUCUAAGCAUCAGGUAACAUCAAAUCGUACCCCAAACCGACACAGGUGGUCAGGUAGAGAAUACCAAGGCGCUUGAGAGAACUCGGGUGAAGGAACUAGGCAAAAUGGUGCCGUAACUUCGGGAGAAGGCACGCUGACACGUAGGUGAAGUGAUUUACUCAUGGAGCUGAAGUCAGUCGAAGAUACCAGCUGGCUGCAACUGUUUAUUAAAAACACAGCACUGUGCAAACACGAAAGUGGACGUAUACGGUGUGACGCCUGCCCGGUGCCGGAAGGUUAAUUGAUGGGGUCAGCGCAAGCGAAGCUCCUGAUCGAAGCCCCGGUAAACGGCGGCCGUAACUAUAACGGUCCUAAGGUAGCGAAAUUCCUUGUCGGGUAAGUUCCGACCUGCACGAAUGGCGUAAUGAUGGCCAGGCUGUCUCCACCCGAGACUCAGUGAAAUUGAACUCGCUGUGAAGAUGCAGUGUACCCGCGGCAAGACGGAAAGACCCCGUGAACCUUUACUAUAGCUUGACACUGAACAUUGAGCCUUGAUGUGUAGGAUAGGUGGGAGGCUUUGAAGUGUGGACGCCAGUCUGCAUGGAGCCGACCUUGAAAUACCACCCUUUAAUGUUUGAUGUUCUAACGUGGACCCGUUACCCGGGUUGCGGACAGUGUCUGGUGGGUAGUUUGACUGGGGCGGUCUCCUCCUAAAGAGUAACGGAGGAGCACGAAGGUUGGCUAAUCCUGGUCGGACAUCAGGAGGUUAGUGCAAUGGCAUAAGCCAGCUUGACUGCGAGCGUGACGGCGCGAGCAGGUGCGAAAGCAGGUCAUAGUGAUCCGGUGGUUCUGAAUGGAAGGGCCAUCGCUCAACGGAUAAAAGGUACUCCGGGGAUAACAGGCUGAUACCGCCCAAGAGUUCAUAUCGACGGCGGUGUUUGGCACCUCGAUGUCGGCUCAUCACAUCCUGGGGCUGAAGUAGGUCCCAAGGGUAUGGCUGUUCGCCAUUUAAAGUGGUACGCGAGCUGGGUUUAGAACGUCGUGAGACAGUUCGGUCCCUAUCUGCCGUGGGCGCUGGAGAACUGAGGGGGGCUGCUCCUAGUACGAGAGGACCGGAGUGGACGCAUCACUGGUGUUCGGGUUGUCAUGCCAAUGGCACUGCCCGGUAGCUAAAUGCGGAAGAGAUAAGUGCUGAAAGCAUCUAAGCACGAAACUUGCCCCGAGAUGAGUUCUCCCUGAGACUUAGAGUCUCCUGAAGGAACGUUGAAGACGACGACGUUGAUAGGCCGGGUGUGUAAGCGCAGCGAUGCGUUGAGCUAACCGGUACUAAUGAACCGUGAGGCUUAACCUUACAACGCCGAAG
rnacentral:rRNA from 1 species